AUACAACCUCCCAUAGGAGGGCAAAUCAGUUAAAUUCCAUGGUUUUCCUUCUACAGGGCAUGCAACAUCUUCGAAGUUACUAUAACUCAGAAGCUCAAAUGAUAAGAGGUGGGUUUCCUCAGCCAUUCAUCUCUAGGACAUACCAAACCAGUUUCUUGAAGCAAAGAUCAAAGACAGAGAUAAAAGUUGUAGCCGCAAAGAAACACAGUGAAGCUGAAAAGAGACGUAGAAUGAGAAUCAAUGGUCAAUAUGAAACCCUCCGAACUAUCCUUCCCAACUUGAUCAAAAAGGACAAGGCAUCGGUGUUGGCAGAGACUAUCAAGCAAGUGAAGGAGCUGAAGAAAAAAGUAUCAAAAGUGGAACAAGAGAGUUGUGGUAGCUCAUCAAAGGAUGUUGUUAAGUUUCCUAGUGGGGCAGACAGGUUGAGGUUGGAAAAAUGUAAUAAUGAGGAGGACCUAG
rnacentral:sRNA from 1 species